UUACUAGUUCCUUUGGUUCUUUUCGUUCUUUCUCUAUCUAAUGAAAACUUAGUUUCCAAAAGCACUAUGACUAUAAGAUCAACUUGAAAUAGUCCGUAAUGUUGACAAUGCUGCCCAGUCUGGUUUUCCUCGCAGUCCUUCCUCUCUUCCGAUGUACAGAAAUUAUUACAAAUACUGAUUUUGAAAACAAGAAUAAAUGCAAGGACGAUCAGUACGGUGGUGGAAAUAUAACCAUAAGCUAUCUACAACGAGCUGAAAUAGUACAACUCUUUGAAAAGACUCUUAGGGGAGGCGAACUGAUAUCAAAUAACGGUUGUGUUAAUAAAGGGGAAAACGGGACCGGUUCCGAAUGCUGUACUGACUUGGAAAUUAUACCACACCACAAGAAUCGUUUGUGCGUCAAUAUCACAUACGUGGGAGUCAAUCAAACGGCAAUUGAUGUUUUCCUGACAUGGAACGGCCAAGUCGAAAUUCAUGCUGAACUGAUAGACUUUAACGAGUGCAUUUGCUUAAAACUCCCGAUAUGGAAGAUUGGAAAUCUUGUUGAAGUUUGUGUCUAUUUCACGAAGAUGUCGAGGGAAAACGGCACACUGAGUGGAUGCGUGAACCUAUUCUUCAGAUUCAUAAUUCCCUCCGCAUCGGUCCAAUUAGGUUGUUUCGGAAAUGAAAGAAGUGCUGCAUUCUCCGCUCAAUCAAGCACUACACAAAUCCUACUCACUUUCAUGCUACCUCUUUUGAAUCUUUUGGUAUUCAAUGAUUUCAGAUUUGGGUAUUGGAAUCUUAAAAAAGAUUCAGUCAUCAGUGUCUCUGACCUAGCUCGCUAGCCUUUGCUCGUUUCUCUCACUUUGACUUAGCAGCUUGAAAAGAAGCUAGCCUUGAAACAAUUCAGAUCAUUCUUAGAGUGUAAAUCGAGUAAUAAAAUAUAAGUAUACUUAUUACUUAUAAUGACACAUUAUCUUAUCACUUAUGAAGUUAUUUAUUGAUCUAUCGACUAUCAUCCAUAAAAAUAUAUAGUAUUAAUAAAUGUAUCAGUAUAAUAUCAUGGAUUACAAUUUAUUGUUCUGGAAAUGAUAUUGCAUAUUGAUAUAAUAUUGUAUUUCAGUAUUUGUAUACAGUAGAAUGUGCAUGAAUAUUGAAUAAUGAAUAUGAAUAUUUAUAUAUUUAUAGUCUGGUAUUGGUAGUAACGAUUAUGUUAAAAAGGUAUUAAGAUUUUAGAAUUUGCGAACUUAAUAACUAUAUACUACUAUAUACAGCUAGUACUACUACUUUAUUAUUAUAAGCAUUUGGCAUAAUGCAUAUAAUUGAAAGCCAAUAUUGCAGAAUGCAGAUCAGAGUGUUAUGUUGUGUGUGUGCUAAUUAAUGUUUUGGGGAUCAAUCCACCCACUCGUACUAGUACUCGUAAUGACAAUCUACCUUUGUCAUUUGUGUCCGACUGCAGUUUAGGCCUGGGUUAUUGCCCGGCAAACGUGGUAAAUGGUAAAUCGGGGGUUAACGUAUUUUUAUUAUAAGUAAAACUUUAACAGACAACUUUUAACUUGCUUUUUUAUAUUAACUGCUUUUGGUUUCCCACGAGGUAGUAGCAUGCUGCAUGCUAAAUUAUUUUUGAUCCGACUUGAUCUGCAAACCAAUAUUUUGAAUAUUCUAAAUCUAAUCAUUAUCAGUUUUAUAGCUGAGAGUAAGAUAAGCUAUUUUUCUCUUUUUAAG